rnacentral:sRNA from 1 species
CCUUUUGAUUUACUGAAUUUAUUACACUUUCCAAAGAGAAAACAAAAGACGCAUAGCCCGAACCAUAGAACACUGCUACUAUUGGUAUCAUGUCAUCCAUGUCCAGCCGCCCGCGUUGUUAAGGGAGUAUCUGCGUGGCAUCGAACCCAGCCAUCGAAGUGUAAUUUAUACUAUGGUGUCGAAUAAACAGGUGUAGUAGCCAGCGGCGGAAGUUCGGUGGUUGGGGUCAGAGCAGAGUGAACACUAUACUUACAGCGCUUUCGUUGGGCAAUUCGAGAUUGCAGGCGCCGUCGUUCAACCAGGUCUAAUAUCUUUGUCCAAUCUUCAUCGGGAUGGGCGCUGUCACUGAAAGCACUGCAAGACAGCCAUUUAGAAGAAGAACCAGUGGAAAUGCGAGGCUCAGUUGGUCGAAGCCAGUUAGGGAAGUCGCGAUGAUAGAUGUUCUUAGGACUGUCUAAUAACAUCAUCAGCAACAGAAAGAAUCAAUGAAAGAGAAAGUAUAAUGCGCACGAUUCAACUGAUGCAAUCUCAGAUAUCUCUGCCCUUGAUAGCUUUUCUUACACCCAUCAUAUUCACACACGAAUGGUGGUUCAGUGAAUUUCGGCUUGCAUGUUGGGCAUAUAUUAAUGAAUUCAUGAAUUAGUUCCUCAGGAACCCUGUUAAUUCUGAAGUCAGCAAGGUUAAUCUUUUUGAAAGGCGAUUUUGAGCUCUGUCUGCAAUGAAUAUACCAGGAAUGUUUAACUGCUGCUGAUGUUGAUUUCUGAUCUCCAUGUCCACAUUCCCGGUGUGCCGUUGUCAGAAUUCUAAAUAGCUUCUUUUGAAUUGCAAUGGGUUUCCCUCCCCGGAAGACCGAACGCCGGCCAU